CCUACGGGGGGCAGCAGUGGGGAAUAUUGCACAAUGGGGGAAACCCUGAUGCAGCAACGCCGCGUGCGCGAUGAAGGCCAUCGGGUCGUAAAGCUCUGUCCUAAGGGAAGAAUACUGACGGUACCUUAGGAGGAAGCCCCGGCUAACUCCGUGCCACAAGCUGCGGUAAUACGUAGGGGGCUAGCGUUAGCCGGAUUUACUGGGCGUAAAGGGUGAGGAGGCGGCCCUUCAAGUCAGAGGUGAUAGGCGACGGCUCAACCGUAGUCAGCCUUUGAAUCUGUAGGGGAUGAGUGCAGGAGGGGAGUGGGGAGUUCUCAGUGUAGAGGUGAAAUUCAUAGAUAUUGGGAGGAACACCAGUUGCGAAGGCGGCUCUCUGGACUGUAACUGACGCUGAGGCACGAAAGCGUGGGGAGCGAACAGGAUUAGAUACCCGAGUAGUC
rnacentral:rRNA from 1 species